CCACCUUGUCUUGGCUUAGGACACACUAGAAGCAAUGCUAGAAAGAAAGAAACUAAUGUAAGAAAGAAAGAAGAGAGGAGUGGGGUGGAAUUAGAAUGAUGAAACCCAUGGAGUGCUAACCUAUUUAUAAUAGGUGUAGGGAUGCAUCUCCAAGGGAUGCAUCCCAUCCACACAUCCUUUCAUGAAAGGGCAUCAUCUAAAGGGCUAUAUCAAAUAAGAGGAGGCACAAAUCAAGUGAGGAGGUGUAUCAAAUGAUAUGUCCUUUCAUGUGGUGCCAUAUUUUGACCAAGUCAACAGCACAUGCCAAUCACAUGUCCAUCAUGCCUCAUCUCUUGAUCUUUCAUGAUGAUGAUCCAAGGGCUCCAAUGCAAGGCGCCAUUCACUUGACCCAUUAUGUCUUCAUCCAAUGGUGGGAUUAAGAUCCAAUGGUCAAUUAUGAUAGCCAUCCUCUAACCCAAUCCAAUUGGGUUAAACCAACUCUCCAUUAUGUCUUCAUCCAACGGUAGAUCAAGAUCUAAGGGUCUAGAUUGAAUGAUUUAUUAAAUCUAAUCCAAUUAGACUCAAACCAAGCCAAUUAGGUGCCAACUCUUGGCUAACCCAUAUUAGAAUAUGAUCUAAUCAAAUUAGAUCAAUUAAGAAUCAGCUUCGAAUCCAAUUCGAAUCAGAUUCGAAUCCAAUUCGAAUUAGGAGCUAAGGUUUGCAACACCUGCUAGGAUGUUUAUCUUACAAACAUGAUCUAAUCUAAUUAGACCCUUGAUAAGUUUUCUUGUGUGUGACCCAUUGGGUUCCAUACUUAGCCAGCAAUAGGUGUGAGUGCGAGUUGACCCAACUUGAUUAGAACUCUUCUAAUCGAUUUAAGUCCAAACUGCGCGAACCCGAACUUAACAAUUAGAAUUCUUUCUAAUUGGUGAUCGAAUUAAACUCUUUAAUUUGAUUAAACCUAUAAAACAAGAUUGACGUCUAGCAACGUGUCAUGUCUACCCGAAAAAUAUGAAAUUUGGUAGAAAUACCAAAAAUACCCUUCAGUGGCAAGU
rnacentral:lncRNA from 1 species